rnacentral:tRNA from 1 species
GCUUUCGUGGUGUAAUGGUUAGCACACUCGGCGCGCAUUCGAGAGAUCCAGGUUCGAGUCUCGGUGAGGGCA